UACGUAGGGUGCAAGCGUUAAUCGGAAUUACUGGGCGUAAAGCGUGCGCAGGCGGUGAUGUAAGACAGUUGUGAAAUCCCCGGGCUCAACCUGGGAACUGCAUCUGUGACUGCAUUGCUGGAGUACGGUAGAGGGGGAUGGAAUUCCGCGUGUAGCAGUGAAAUGCGUAGAUAUGCGGAGGAACACCGAUGGCGAAGGCAAUCCCCUGGACCUGUACUGACGCUCAUGCACGAAAGCGUGGGGAGCAAACAGG
rnacentral:rRNA from 1 species